rnacentral:misc_RNA from 1 species
GAUGUUUUGAGUGGGGUUAUGAUUUGUAGGUUUGUUGAUAGAUUUUUUAGAAAAAUAAAUAAGAGAAAAGUAUUAAAGAUGAGAAUAGGGAUUAGGAUGAAGAUAUGUAUGUAUAGAGGGAUUAUUUUAGUAAUUUGUAAGUUUUUUGUAUAAAAUUGAUGGGAUUAUGAUUUAGUUAUUUUUUAAAUAAUUGGUAUAAUGUUUUAUAUAAAGUAGGUAGUUUGUA